UACACACACGCAAGUCGAACGCGAAAGGGGGCAACCCCGAGUAGAGUGGCGUCCGGGUGAGUAACACGUGGAUAAUCUACCUUUGGAUGGGGAAUAACUCCGCGAAAGUGGAGCUAAUACCGCAUAACAGGUUUGGGGGGCAUCCCCCGAGUCUCAAAGCGGGGGACCGCAAGGCCUCGCGUCCGAAGAGGAGUCCGCGGCCGAUUAGCUAGUUGGUGAGGUAAAGGCUCACCAAGGCGUCCAUCGGUAGCCGGCCUGAGAGGGUGACCGGCCACACUGGCACUGAAACACGGGCCAGACUCCUACGGGAGGCAGCAGUGGGGAAUUUUGGGCAAUGGCCGAAAGGCUGACCCAGCAACGCCGCGUGAGGGAUGAAAUCUUUCGGGAUGUAAACCUCGUAAGUCAGGUAAGAAUAAACGCGUUCUAACACAACGCGAUAUGACGGUACCUGACGUAAGCCCCGGCUAACUCCGUGCCAGCAGCCGCGGUAAUACGGGGGGGGCAAGCGUUGUUCGGAAUUACUGGGCGU
rnacentral:rRNA from 1 species